UGCGCAGGCGGCCGUGUGCGUCAGAAGUGAAAUAUCCGGGCUUAACCCGGAGGGUGCUUUUGAUACGGCAUGGCUUGAGUCCGAGAGAGGAUGAUGGAAUUCCUGGUGUAGCGGUGGAAUGCGUAGAUAUCAGGAGGAACACCGGUGGCGAAGGCGGUCAUCUGGCUCGGAACUGACGCUCAGGCACGAAAGCGUGGGGAUCAAACA
rnacentral:rRNA from 1 species